rnacentral:misc_RNA from 1 species
CCGUGCAUCGCACUCAAAGAAGCGAGGCAACCUCAUUUUCAUUUACCUACUUCUCCACCUUUUCCUUGUGACUCUCUCUCACUCCGUCCGUCUAAGCAACUAUACAUUUCUCUCCACGUUUCUCACUGAAACUUGAUUGUGGUCCUUUCCAUUGUAUUACACUCGCUUGCCGGCUAGAAAAUAGGAAAGGUGCGCGCGCACACACACGCACAAAUGACGAGCGGAAGAGCGACCCGAAGUUGAUCUUGUGGGCCUCACGUGAACCCGCCGCGCUCCUUUUUCCUGUCGCUUUCUUCACCUCUAUUUCUUUUGUGGUUUGAUGAGGGGUGUCUUCCUCAUCUUUUUUCUAUCUUUCAUUGACGUGUGUGUGUGUGUACCGUUUGCAUUUAUCAACAUUAUAUAUAUAUGUAUAUAUACAUUUUUCCAAUGUGUGUGCGCGUAUGUGCGUGCGCGUUGACGAGCGAAACACACACAAAGGGGAAUGCCUCCGGCAUACAAGCGUGAAGGGGCAGUGUACCGCUAUCAUGUGCUCGGGGGGGGUGAUGUGACCCUGCCGCUGUUCUUUUUUCGCUUUCUUUCCUCAUGACCGGGGGUAAGGGACACCUAAGUGUGGUGUCCAGGGUCCGUUACACCCCACGUUGUGUGUGAGGAAGGCAAGCACCCCCUGUCCCCUGCCAAUGCCGAACAACCUCUGGUGGUGGCAGGGCCAAGCAGCUGUGACGUAGGGGUGGACAGGGCGAUGUGUCGCUGCUGAUGUCGGCGGUCAGGUCGUGGAUGGCGUUGCGCCGGAGCGGCCUGCGGCAGUGAACGCACUUGCGCCAUCCAUCUGGUGGGCAUGGUGUCGCCGCAGCUCGAGCGCAUCCCCGCCCCGCGCCUCACACUGCCUGCUGGCGGGGGGAGCCUGAGCUACCCCGAGGGACGCACGAGGUGGGGACCGGCGCAAUGUGAGCCGCUGUGGGGCGGCCUCCGCUUCGCAGGCCGGUAGUGUUUUGAGGCAGAGGCCAUGCUCGGAUGACGGAGUCGGCGCAUUGCUGUAGAGCGUGUGCACGACUGCUUUGCGCCACGCGAUGGGGGCCUGCGACAUGCCGGGUGGAGUGUUGUCGAGCUCACGUUGCGUGGCGGAGAACGGACGUGUGAAACGUAAAGAAACAGACAAACAAAAGUCACAAAAAAAGGCGCUGAGAUCGGCGUCUUUUGUUUCGGGUAAGUUCUCUUUCACUUGUGUAACUUUUUCGCGUUUUCUCACUGUUUUCGUGCCUGAUGCCUUCGCGUGAAUGGCUCUUGUGCUUUUUUUUUCAUAAUUGCUCCCUUUUUUUUGUUCGUGUGUGCCCCGUGUCUUUAUCGCAUGUGCUUGCUUGUGAGAAUUAUGUGUGUCCUCACGUGUGUGCGUCUGCAUCUCUGUUUUAGUGUGCGUUGCACCACCACAUGGCUUUCGCUUGCGCUGAUUCGUUUGCGUUCGUGAAUGCAGACGGUAGCAUUUUUUUUCGUCAUAUUUAGGUGUUUUUUUUUUGGUGGCUUGUACUCGGCGCUGGUCUGAUUGGUCGUUUUUUUCUAUUCUAGUAGCAGCUCUUGCCUCCUCCUCGUAGCUUCCAAUGAGUCUCUGGAUCUCGCUGUGGACCUGCUCUCGCGCUUGUGUAGUUUCGCUGUUUCUCCAGUGUGAGAAAGCGUACUACUACCACUGUGGCAGCAGUGUGCUUUUACGUUCUCUUCUCCAUUUGUGUUUCGAUGGGGGCUGCCAGCGCUGCAUUGUGUCAUCAAAAUGCGCGUGAUAGUGAGAAGUAAGCAUGAGGCAAC